ACUUCUUCUGCCACUCCAACAAACGAGACUGGCCGUUUGGCUUUGCUCAAAUUCAAAGAAUCCAUUACUAAUGCCCCAGCUGCUGUCUUGAGCUUAUGAAAUUAUUCUAUUCAGUUCUGCAAUUGGUAUGCAAUUACAUGCGGCCGCCACCAUCAAAGAGUCACGACCUUGGCACUACAGGGGCAUAAAUUGCGUGGAACCAUUACACCUUUCAUUGGAAACCUCACCUUUCUUACAGCCAUCAACCUCCAAGACAACAGCUUUUAUGGUGAAAUUCCAAAGGAAGUUGGUCAUUUGUUUCGACUGUGACAUUUCAAUCUUCCUAAUAACACGCUGGGAGGAGAAAUUCCAGCCAGCUUGACCAACUGCUCUGAACUCAAGAUUUUGGCAUGGGUGGUAAGGCAUCAACUCAUGAGGGGGAUGUAUAUAGCUAUAUAUGGAGUUCUCAUGCUGGAAAUGUUUACACGAAGGAUGCCCACUGAUGAUAUGUUUAAAGAUGGUUUGAAUCUCCAUAAUUUUGUUAAGAUGACAUUACCAAAAAGACUGGCUCAAGCUUUUGACCCAAUGUUUUUGCCAAGAGAAGUUGAAGAAUUGGUAAUGAUGGCAAUAGAAAAAGAUGACAAUGAUAAUGAAAUUGAAGUAGAAGAAGCUAAUAAUAUUGAGGAUUCAAGGUAUAUUGAUGUUGACAUGCAAAAGUGCUCACUCUCAAUUCUUAACAUUGGAAUCUUAUGUUCAUUGGAAUCCCCAAAAGAGAGAAUGAGUAUGGAGGAAGUCAUUAGGGAAUUGCAAUUGAUAAAAAGUGCUUUCAUUAGUUUGGGGAUUCAUAGAGGCAGACCAAGUAGAGAUCAAGUAAGGGGUAUUUAGUUUUGAUUAUAAGACUACGUUAAGUAGUAUGUCCUAUUCAUUUACUUUGAUAUCAUUCAGUCCCCAAAUACUUCUAUUAAAAAUGCAUGGAGAUUUUAUGUUGACCUUUUUAUUAAUUUUGAGGAGAUUAUCAUAGCUGAUUGUAAAAUUGGAUUUUCAUUUCUCAUUCAUUAUCAAAAUACUAAACAGAA